UCUCCGGCUGCACCACCGGAAGUAGCGGCAGUUAUGUGCACAGGUAGCGAAUCAUCGUUGGUCGCUGGUUACUUAACGGCACUGCAUCAACUGCAGAGAUUACAUGGAAUGAGACGAGGAAGAUAAUUCACAUUGAAUUGGCAAGAUCCGGAGGGGAAACGGCCCUGGCCUACUUGAAAAAUACUUGACCUAUUUCGAGAUUCACCUAACGGACUGAGAUACACUUCGAAGAAAGAAGACCACAAUUGUUGCAUAAAUUGAGGAGUACCUGUAAUUAUAUCAGAGAGGUAUCACCAUUAUUAACAACAUUAUUUAACUGUUUCUGCAGUUGUUAAGAAGAAAGCAUUUCAGGAGUUUGCUACACCCUAUUCACUCAUACUUCAUGGCUGCUUAUUACUUAGUGACGUGGAUGAAACCAGCAAUGCUGUAACUCCACUAUGAAGAGUUUCUUCAACUGCAAAUAAGAAGAUGAAACUACAAAGAGCCAUACUAAUACAUCAUACACGUAGAAAAUAUAUAAGAAUAAAAAUACUGACAACUGUUAUAAAAUAUAAAAACAAAAUCUGAACUGAAUUGUCAUUAUCAAAUUUCAAAACUGUUUCUACUGAUAUGAAAGCUUCAAGAUGUCUGUUCAUAGCACACCACUGACAGCAUAUAAUAAGUUGCAGUUAAUCUGUGACUACAGCAAACAGCAUCAUGAAUCAAUACAAAUCUGUGAACCAUUAAUAUUCACAGUGUUUCAAGUGGGACUUCCCAGUCAUCUGAAUCAAUUUCUCCCUUGAAGGUCUCUUCAGGUUAAUAACAACAGGAUCCACAGCUUCCCUAUUUUUUUUGUAGAGAUUUCUGCUUCCCAUCUCCCCUUCCUCAGCCUCUCUCCAUGUCAGACAUAAUUUUCUCACAAUGUCGGAGAGACCUGAAAGUUAUGAAAACAGAAUUGUACCACUGUCUCUACAUUCUACAGCAACAUUACAAAAGAUUAGCACUACAAUUAAUUCUAUGUGACAGACAAUGUCUUUAGUCAACACAAAAAGACAAACAUCCAAACCUGUUCCAAAAAUUCCUCCGACGUCUUUUACACACUUUCCUUUCCAAACCCAAUCAAUGCUGCUACAUCAGUAUCUCUUAGUCUGGGACCAAACCAGUUCAGUGGGGUUGAAAAGGCAAUAAUAUGGUGGUACGUGUAAAAGUCUGUACUGAUGCUCUUCAAUAAAUUCAU